GGUGAUAUAGCACAGCGGUAGUGCAUCUCCUUCAUACGGAGCAGGUCGCUAGUUCAAAUCUAGCUAUCACCA